rnacentral:rRNA from 1 species
GGGGAAUAUUGCACAAUGGGCGCAAGCCUGAUGCAGCCAUGCCGCGUGUGUGAAGAAGGCCUUCGGGUUGUAAAGCACUUUCAGCGGGGAGGAAGGCGAUAAGGUUAAUAACCUUGUCGAUUGACGUUACCCGCAGAAGAAGCACCGGCUAACUCCGUGCCAGCAGCCGCGGUAAUACGGAGGGUGCAAGCGUUAAUCGGAAUUACUGGGCGUAAAGCGCACGCAGGCGGUCUGUCAAGUCGGAUGUGAAAUCCCCGGGCUCAACCUGGGAACUGCAUUCGAAACUGGCAGGCUAGAGUCUUGUAGAGGGGGGUAGAAUUCCAGGUGUAGCGGUGAAAUGCGUAGAGAUCUGGAGGAAUACCGGUGGCGAAGGCGGCCCCCUGGACAAAGACUGACGCUCAGGGGCGAAAGCGUGGGGAGCAAAC